rnacentral:rRNA from 1 species
UACGUAGGGUGCAAGCGUUGUCCGGAAUUAUUGGGCGUAAAGAGCUCGUAGGCGGUGUGUCGCGUCGGCCGUGAAAACUUGGGGCUUAACUCUGAGCGUGCGGUCGAUACGGGCAUCACUUGAGUUCGGCAGGGGAGACUGGAAUUCCUGGUGUAGCGGUGAAAUGCGCAGAUAUCAGGAGGAACACCGGUGGCGAAGGCGGUUGGCUGGGCCACAACUGACACUGAUGCGCGACAGCGUGGGGAGCAAACAGG